GGCUGCGGCAGCGGCGGGGCGGCGCCCACCGCGCGGGCGGGGCGGGGCGGGGCGGGGCGGGGCGGGGCGGGUGGGUGCGGGCGGCCGCGCCGCUCUGCUCGGUUCGCCCAUUAGGAAGCAGUCGUAGUUUAUGCGUCGCAUCUGCAUUUCAGACCGAUUAUUGUACCUAAUGACGGUUGGUUGCUAAUAUUUCCUCAAUCUCUCUCUUAGUCAAGCGCUUCUUCUUCUGUAUUUUCGUGUGUAGCGACGUGUAAUGCGCUAGGCAUUAUCGGCUUUGUUUCAGAGUAUCUCCUGUACUGCGUUCAAUUUCCUUACGUUCCUUUUUUUAAGCUUUGCUACUGUUCUCACUUUAUGCCGUGCAAUAUCAUCUGCUGUGUUUGCUAAGCAAAAAAAAAAAAAAAAAAAAAAAAAAAAAUCCAAAACAAAAAGAGAGAAAAAAAAAAAAAGGAAAAAAAAAAAGAAAAAUGGAAAAAGAAAAACGAGGAAAAAAAGAGCAAGUGAUGAUGUCAUCAUGCUUUUCAGUGUUAAAAUGUUUCAGCGUUUAUGUAGUCACAAAAAUGUAGUAAAUAAAAGGUUGGAUUUUCCAGCACUUUACAUUUAGCCAUCUCUUGCCUCCUUUGUGUCUGCGGGUAUGGAUGUCACCACCGUAACCCGCAGAGGUGUUUUGUUCUGCGGGACGGAGCCCACCGCGGGCCGGCAGCACCAGCGCUCACUGCUGGGAGGGAUGUCGCGUUCCUCCCCCGUCGCUGCUGUGCUGUGGGCCCUUCACGCCCACCCCAUCACAGAGCGCCAGUGCCGGGACAGCCCCACACCGCAGCUCCCUAAGGAGGGAUGAGCGCCUGCCGCGGAGGUAACGGCCUUCUGGGCAGCGGGCUGUGCUGCUGAGAUGAGGCUGCUGUCCUGCGGCUGUGCUGGGAACCGGAGCAGUGCCCAUCCAGGGCAGGCACAGGGAGAGGAAGGACCCCAUUCCCAAAACUGCCCCUCAUCAGCAGAGGCGAUGCCGUGGGACCUGCCCUCAGCAGCAUACCUGGGCCAAGCGGUGUCCCCAGGGGUCCCUUGCUGCUGGGGACACGUGGGGUCCAAGGGCCUGCACAGCUUUUGGAGCGUCUCAAGGCAAAGCGACGCCAAGACACACAUCCCCUGUGGGAGUGUGCUCAGGAAGGCUCAGCAGGGCACAUAGAAAAUGCAGAAGCCUGAGUGUCACAGGCUUUGUGUGUUGAGCAGGGCUACACAGCAAGGCGCAGAGGCAGCGAGAAGGAAGGAGCAAAGCAGGUAUGUACCAGGCUGAGCGGCGUGGCGGUGACAGCUCAGGUGCCCUCGAUGCAUGUGAUGGGGCGGCACUGCUGGUGGUGCUGGCAGUUAACCAGCAGGGCUGACGUUGCUCAGAGGGGAGCCAGCUGAGAUGCUAUAGGAGCAGCCGCGCUCAACACAGACACCCUGGUGACGUGGGGACGAGGCCAACGAAUCUCCUGGUGACUGGAAUCUCCCCAGCGAUGCAGAGAUCCGCUCUUGGUGAGGCAUUCAAUCAAGUCGGUGACACGGAUCAAAGCAUACUGCUUUAAUCGCCCGGUUAGGCCGCAGACAUCAUUAGUUACUCAUUAUGAUGUGUUGAUGCUGGCACACUCACUGCUGGUUGUGUACGCUCGCUAUCAGACGUUUUUCUCAUCAAAUGGGAUGUCAAUACCUUAACAUCUUAAUGAGUUACAGUCAAUACCCAUUGCAAUAAGGCUGGUCUGUUCUCGUGAUUCUAUCUGCCCUCGGGGUUUUCAUUACAAUGACUGCUUUUUCCAGAUAACUGAUAGAGUUACGGAAAUUCCAUGUAGGAAGGAGCAUUUGUGAUGCUUCUCACAGUGACGGGCCCAGUGCUGGAGUUUGGGAUGCAAAAGCCACGUCCAAAUUGCCUUUUGUUGUAGAAACCUCUCUUACUUAGAAGAGGACAGCAGAAGCUUUCCAGCUCCAAGUUAAAUCCUGGGUUAGACAUUUCUUUGCUGUUUAUGGCAGUGAAGACCUGUGUGGCUGCUGGAGCUGCAGGAAGCAGAGAAAACUUGUCAUAUUUUUAGCAGUCACCGAGAAUAGCAAAGAGCUGCUGUGACUCACAUAGGAAAAUGCCGUGUCCUGACGCCCCUCGUGCUGGAGGUGUACAGCUGAGAACUGUGACUCCUGGCCCAGCAGUGAGCUGCCAGCCAGGCUCCAUCCACAGCAGUGAGCAACAGGUGGCUGUUCCCUGUUUAUCCCCUUAAUUAGGAUAUGGGUAGCAUUAAAAAUAAUGCACUCAAUAUUAAUUUAAUUAAUAUAAUAAUAAGGGAUGUUUCAAUCUCAGGCUCGCUGUGGGGAGUCAUCAGUGUGAGGAUACACGUUAAAAACAAAUGUAAAGUCACUGAAGAAUUGUACAGCCCUGCCUUUUCAGAGCCUUUGACCUUAGAAGUGCUUUAGCUUGCUCCUUCCUUAUAGCCCGUGUAGAUUUUUGCGUUACACCCCACUUGGCAAACACGAAUUGCAGGAAGUCAGGUGCCGCAGGGAACAGCAGCACUGUGUGCGGGUGUCGGAGCUGCGCCCCGCGCCUCAGGGAAGAGAAGAGCAGUGCUCGAAGGGCUGGGGGGACCCAGAGCCUCAGUUUUCCUCUUCCAGCACAGGGGAAGAAGUGUUUGGCUCCCACACGGAGUGCUGACACGCUUAAUUCAAUCUGACUUGCAAAGUGCAUCGUGGGCCUUAGGGAAAAGGUGCUGUAGAAGCCACAGAAUAUUUUCCUGCUCUCCCUGGCAGGACGGCACUCAGCGUUAUGGAUGGUCCUGCUGCCAUGCAUCUCCCUCUGGCUGACAGCGGGAGCAGUUCGUGUAUAUAAAGCUAAGGGGACCGCUUAGAAGGCUUUUGCUCUAAAUAAUCUGCUAACACUUGUGAUGGAUCGAAAGCUGAAAGGCUGAGAAGUCACUGUUUUCAGGGGGUUUUACAGCAGAAAUGUGCACGUGUGGCUUGGGAGCCGUACAGGAAAAGAGCUGGCUCCCAAGCAGUGUAUUUUCUUUACUCCUCCUUCUAUUUCACAGCCCCCGUUAUUCAUUUUUCAGUUUUACUGUUCGUUUAUAAUUUAGCCAGCUGUUCUUUAACACUGCUCUCUUAUUUCAGGUUUUCUUGAUUGGAUCGGAAAGAAUGCAGACCCAGCCUGGGGCAGAGGGAGCGGGGUGGCCAGAGCCCAUGGCACAGCCUGCACACAGUGGGGUUAGCAGGCGCCUGUUUUGGGGAAACCCAGCUUAUAAUUUAAACAAACAAGCCUGUAAUUCUGAUUCUGCAUUUAUAAUUUGCGGAAAAUGCUCUCCAGAAUAGCAUCCAGUGCAGCACAGCCACUGGCAGCCCAGCAGCUGACAGUGAUGCCCCAAAUCUUUUUAGUGCGUUGAAAUAGAAGUGUAUUCCUGCCUACUCCUUAGCCAAAAUGAGGGUGUUGCUUCAGUCUCACCAGACUGGAAAUCAUACAGGCACAUCGUAUGGAAAACAAACGAUUGUAAAUAUGCAGCCCUUCACCAGCAGUUACAACAGGUCCUUCCUCCCUGCCUGGAUUUCUGCACUCUGUAUUCUGACUUAACUCAAUGGUUUCUCUUAUGUUUUGCUUUCUUUCAAUGGCAAAUGAUGCUUAAAAUACCUCAGGGUCAGCAUCUUCAGUCAGAACUGCUCCUCUGGCGUUGUUAGUGUUUGCUGUGUACUUCAUCUGCCAUUUCUGAGGAUGAAAAUAAGUCUUAAACAUCUUGAGUAGCUGACAAGGUAAUGAUAGCAAGUCACGAAUGAGUGAUUGAUUUAUGAAUUUGUGUAAGUAUGGCCACCAGACACCUCCCUGCCUGUGUACGUGUGUGCCCUGCCUUUCCAGGGUACAACCACUCGUGGAAUAACAUUUUUUCUAUGCCUGCUGCAAGCGCCACACAGAGGAGCCUCAUUGCUCUGCAGAGACUGUGCCAUGAAAAACAAACACUGACACCCAAACUCUUCCAGCAGAUGAAGGCAGGUGUGCCCAAGAGACCGGCUGGCUCCCAUUUGCACUACCAGCUGCUGCCAUAUCGGUGCAGUGGAGCCACGUGGAACUGGGGCUUGGAGCUGUGGCCAGGUAAGGCUUUCAGCGCUGGGUGUGCAGGGGGAGGCUGCUACCAGUCUGGGAGGUGCUGCGGUGCAAAAAGGCACCUUGAGGGGAAUGCACUGCUGGAAUGUGGGCACACAUAGGAGUUGUGUGGGGCUGGGGUGGUGUGUGUACUGCUGGGGUGAGUCCUCACUGCAGCAAGGCUGUGCUGGAACACCAGGGAGGCACCACCUUGAGUUAGAACGGUCCCAAGGAUGCUGCCACUUGCAGGCUUUGGAUGUGUCCUCUCCCAUCUUUGCCCUCAGUCCCCUUCACAAGUGAUAUGCCUAUUUAUUUAAAGGGAAAGAAAAAAGAUUGCAAGUCCUGAUAUGACAUUUUUCUUUGCCAAGUGAAAUGCUGAAAGCAUUAAAUGUAUGGAGUGAGGGACGUGGUGAAACAGCUGAGGAAUGGCUUUACAUGCAGCACGUAUUUGUUGUUGUAGCCAUACUGCUGACAGUUGGUGAUGGUUUGCCAUUGGCUCUGGUUGUGGAAAAAGUAGUCUCAAUGACAGCAAACAAAUAGGGGCAAAGCCCUCCCCCUUCCUUACAAUCAGAUCAAGGCCACGGACUCUUAGCAUGAUUGCUGUGAAUAAGGCCCUGUUUUUUUGCAACGUGAUCCAUGUGUACAAACCCCACAUGGAGCAGAAGCCAAAACUGCAGCAUUUAUUUGACAUUUCAGUUGAGAAGGAGAAUAAACACGUUCUGUACUCAUCUUUUUUUUCAGCAAAAACAAUUAACUUUGGAACAAGGGCUUUGAUUGCUAUCUCUCUGACGUCACCUUUACAUUGAUGUGAUUCUAUAGGCUGCGGUGGGGUCAUUGCUGAAUCACACUGGUGUGAGCAGGGAACAAUCAGGCUGUGUGCUUUUGGGGCAGUGAAGGUGCUUCUGUUCUGUGAAAAGAAAGAAAGUCGGUUACGCAUCUUAAAGGGUAAAUAAGUUAACCGAGAAAUUCAGAUGGAGCCAAAAGCAUUAUAAGCAAAGAUACUGCAACAACGUUCUAACUGUACUGCUAGUUUAAAAAUAUACAUAGCCUAAUUAAGUAAAGAUUGACUUAGCUAUAAAUAUGUACUGUGAUCUUUUUCAUUUUCAAGUUUUAAUUGACAUCCAAAGGUGAGCAAUGCAAUAUCUUACUGGAACUUUGGGGCUUUCAAUGUGCUGUCCCUUACUGCCUUUGUUCGAGAUCCUUGCAUGCAUGUCAAUUUCCUUUCCCCUUCAAACAGUGUUAUGCAGCAUGAGAAUAAAUCAGCUCUAAGGACUACAAUUACAGGUUAACUGGUGUGAAAGCAGCAAUGCAUGCUCACCCGAAUAUAGCCACUGUGAAAUCCUAGCUCUAUCUGUGUGAAGGGGAGCUGACCUUUGUACGUGGGCCAAGGAUUUCACCAUUCAUGACAUUCACCAGGCACAGAUGUAUUUUUUUUACAAGUCAAGGUAGAAUCAAGCCUUUCAAUGUCCUGCUCUUCGUGCUCCUUUUGUGCUGUUUUUGCAAUUAUACCCUCAGUUUCCAGAGGAUGUGAGGGUCCCAGAAAGGUAACUUAUUUUGAUUGGCAGUAAAGUUUAUCAAUAUUACACUUGAGAUGGUGUGGGCUUAAUCAUAUCAGAGGAGCUUUGGUGUACUCAGCACACAGCUGGGAACAGGCCCAGGCAGCCCUACCAGCCAGCAAGGUGAGCCACUGCAUCGUCACCGCGGGCGGUAUGGCUACAGGACAGCAGCCAACAGGUGGCAUCCAAAAAAGAAAGAAAUGGGGAACCAGUGACACCGAAAUCUGGGUAAUUGUCAUAUGUCUAUACUGAAAAAUCAAUCCUGAUGACUCCAUGUGCAACCCUUUCUGUUCGGUGCCAUUUCUAUUCGGUCUUUACUAAUAACAUGUGGUGCGUCUCACUGAGUGGCCGGGAAUAUAUCAGAAUGGCUCUGGGUAAUAACUAGGCAACAAAAACUUUUAGAACCAGGCCAUGGCAGUUUUGCAAUAGCUGUGGCAUUUCCCUAAUAAGCCCCAACUCACUGCCUACUUUAGGAAAUGACAUGCAGUUUCUCCUGUAAGCCACGCGUGUGGUUAUGUUAAACGUUGCCCUGCAUUUAACAGUGUGCUACUUUCCUGUCCUACUCUCUCGCAAGCCUAAUAGGAGCUGCAGCAUUCAUUUAACCUGGGCGGAACUGUGGGCUGCACUUGUUGUUCCAGAAGGUAAUCGCUUUGCUACGUAAAGGAUUUAUCCUUUUCAUUUGCAGUGCACACAGUAAACUACCUGUAAUUUUAAUACAGUCAGCGGUGUGGCUGUAGUAAUAUUCUUUAUGUUGUGGUUGUGCUCACUGCCAGUGUUCUCCUAGCUGUAUUGGCAUGGUGAGAUGUACAACACAAUGAUAUUUUGCAGGGUGCUGGUCCUGCUUCGCCUGUGCCUGGUGGGCUUCCCGUGAGCAGCCAACAGUGGUGGGGCACAUGAAGGUGGAGGACAUGAGAUGGGAGCUGCACAGGUGGGAGGAGGGAGCUGGGAGGUGCCAACCCUUCUGGCAGGGUAGGAAGCCAUGAGCUGGGAGCAGUGCUACCUGCUGCUGCAAAUAGGCAGGAGAACAAAAAAAGGCUGAGGAGGCAUCAGAGGGUGAACCCAAUGAACUACCAGAUGGAGUUACACCAGUGAUUAAUUUCGUGCAAUUACUUGCACAGAGCUGCACUGGAAAUUAUUGCAAGACGGAUCAAAGCAUUAGCAAUAGAAAAACAGCAUUGCAAAAGUCCAAACUCCUCCUUCCAGUUGUUGUUCACUCACUUUCCACUGAAAUUGAUAGAAAUUAUAUGAAUAGGCUGCUUGGAUUCCUGCCAGCUCACUGAAGUGGAUAACAGAGGAGUAGCCUGUGGAUAUACCUGCUCGGAAGUAAACUGACUGCACUGAGUGGUAUGAGAUGACCCAGAUUGGAAACAGUCCUUGUGCUUCUCCUUUCCCCAGAACUUCUGCUGCUGACAACAUCUUGCCGUUUCUCUUGGCAAGCAAACAUCUCUACCUUCUGUACAGGGAAUGUUGGGGCUUGCUGCUGCUACACAAACUCCAGUUUUCCUAUGGAAAUGUAUACAUUUUCUGAUUAAUGUUUCCAUCGAGUUUAGUCCUGGGUAAACACGGAGUAAUGUCAGAAUUCAUCAGUGAACUUGCACAAUCCCCUUGAAAAAAUAUUGAAGAAAAAUUGUUCCCAGCCUAGGAUGAACAUUGCAGCCAAAGAAAAGAUCUUCUAUGUAAAAAAUAA